rnacentral:lncRNA from 1 species
AGUACCGGUCGCCGUGUUCGCCGCUGCUCUCCGCCGUUUCGGGAACGGGGUAGUCCACCGAAGGGGGACAUCUUGAAGAGAAGCAGCUCGACCUAGCGAUGCAGUUGUUGAUUUUGGUCAUCGCCUGUGAGGGCAGCAUCCGAGCGUAAGAGGAAUCUAGGAGCCGUAUCGAAAAGAGGUGGAAGCAAUGAUAGCAAAUGCUGACAAAGAGCAAAGCCGGACGAGUGGUUUUUUGCGCUUAGUCCCUAAGGGGCGGGCUGAAACGAGGAAGCAAAAAUGCAGCAGCGGACCCUCGAUCUCCCCAGAAGCUGCGGCAGUAGGAGGCGUUCUGGCCUGGGUAACUAAGGCGUUCGGAACAUCGGGGAACGACUGUAUGCUGCCGUGAAGAACUACAGGCUCCCGCCCUCAGCCCUUUGCAAGUUAUCAGGUGUCAAGAGCGGCCAGGAGACUCCAAAUGCCGGCGGAAAGGUUCUCUGCCCGGUCCUGACGAGGAGCCUUCGGCCGUAGGAAGGUCGGCGGCGUCCUUACCGGACUCGUGAGUAAUAAGCCGCAAUUCACGGAGCAGCGGGGUGGGGAAUAGCGCCUGGUAGCCCAGCGGCUACGGCGUUGCUGUUGCUAGCAGGGCCCCAAGGUCUGUGUGAAGCCUCAGUUGCCUGUUGGGAGCUUUAUUUUGGUGUGUUUACCUGGAAAAAG